rnacentral:rRNA from 1 species
GAUGAACGCUGGCGGCGUGCCUAAUACAUGCAAGUCGAGCGAACAGACGAGGAGCUUGCUCCUCUGACGUUAGCGGCGGACGGGUGAGUAACACGUGGAUAACCUACCUAUAAGACUGGGAUAACUUCGUGAAACCGGAGCUAAUACCGGAUAAUAUAUUGAACCGCAUGGUUCUAUAGUGAAAGACGGUUUUGCUGUCACUUAUAGAUGGAUCCGCGCCGCAUUAGCUAGUUGGUAAGGUAACGGCUUACCAAUGCAACGAUGCGUAGCCGACCUGAGAGGGUGAUAGGCCACACUGGACAUGUGACACGGGCCAGACUCCUACGUGAGGCAGCAGUAGGGAAUCUGCCGCAACGGGCGGUAGCUUGAAGGAGAACCGGAACGUGAGUGAUGAAGGACUCCGGAUCGUAAAACUCUGUUAUUAGGGAAGAACAAAUGUGGAAGUAACCAUGAACGUAUUGACGGUACCAAAUCAGAAAGCCACGGCUAACUACGU